rnacentral:lncRNA from 1 species
CUCCUUCUCGGGCGAGCUGGCCGAUGUCUACCUGUGGGACGUAGGGCUGUCCCCAGACAAGAUGAGAUCUGCCUACCAGUCCCUGCGGCUGCCGCCCGCCCUCCUGGCCUGGAAGAGCCUGAGCUUCGAGCUGAAAGGCGAUGUGGUGGUGAAGCCCCGGCUCCGGGAGGCGCUGGGGCCGUGACAGCCGGCCGGGCCUGGGGCUGGGGUGGCCUCAGACCCUGCUCUCCCCUCCCUAUCCCCAUCACCCCUCCACCUCUGCAACCUGCCAAGGAGAAGGUGCUGUCUGCGUGGCCCAGCCGAGGAGCUCUGGUGGGGACGGGGCUCAGAUGGAGCCGGGGAGCACCGUCCCCAUGCUCACCCGCCAUCCCCGGGCUCCCUGCCAGCCUGCUGGGUCUGCAGGCUCCCAGGCAGCCAAACCGGUCCCCCGGGCCCACCCCGGAUCGGCAAACAGCCCCGUGGGCCAAUGAUCCCGGACUCGAGGAGUUGAAGGUCCGGGUGAAUGUCACCGCCCUGUAGCCACGUGCAGCCCAGCACAAGCCCUGAGCAGCCCGGGGGCCACGUUGUGGUGGCUCUGCCUUUCCCUGUCACCACGGGGCUGCCGUAGCCAGGCUCAGCAGUGCCAUGGGGCAGCUGUGGCUCUGCCUCCUUACCCUCAUCGUGCUCUUCAGCCUCGCUGCCCCACGAGAAAAUGUGACCGCCCGGAUCCAGGCUCACCCGCCAGUACCCACCAUGUACCACCAGCUGAUACUCUCCUGCGAGGUCACGGGGGACCCCAGGUAAGACGUCGUGUCCCCCCCCAGGCUCUGUCACAGCACCGCAUGGGACACGCAGCUCCGGUGUCCCCAGCCCCAGUGGGAAAAAUGGGGGAGGGAGCACCAUGGUCCCUCCAUGUCCCCCCACCCUAUGGCAUGGCUAUGCUGGGGUGUCCCCCUGACCUGAGUGACACCCGGCCUGGCUCAGCCCCAAGGAGUUCCUGUGGGAGAAGGAUGGACACCAUGACCCCCUGCAGAAAGGCCCUGACAACAUCCUCCUCUUCCCCUCCUUCAACAAGUCGCACUUGGGCACCUACAUCUGCAGGGCCACCGGCUCCCUGGGCACCACCGUGGCCACCUACAACCUGUGGAUAGACGGUAGGGAGGGGACCAAGGGGAUGGCUGGGGACAAGGGUUCUUCCCCUAUUUCCCGCAGCUUGUCCUCACCACCCCGUGCCUGUGCCACCCUGUAUCACAGCCCAC